CAAGCAUCCAUUGCUUGUCUUUCGACCGUUUUUUCCUCUUUUUCGGCUUUGAGCGCUUUUCCACCCUCUCCCCUCUCUCUGUGGGCCCCUGAAGUGACUCAUCAGCUUGGCUCUUGCCGCUUGAAGUGCCGCGAAAUUCUACGACGACUAGGACUGCCACCUCUGCUACACACCCAUUCUUUUUUUUAUUUGCCCGCUUGCUCACUCUCGCUCUCCGACUCCGCGCUUUCCCUCCCUCCUUCCUCACCUUCCUUUGGCCUGGCUCAGCGGACUUGCUCAUUUCUGUUGGCGUCGCGCGCUCUCUCCUUCUGUGCGUGUGCGCGCCCGAGCUUGCGCGCGUUCUCUUUUUUUUCCGGUACUUUCCCGUUUGCGUUCGCGACGCUCCUUCGGCAUCUUGCGCUUCCAUUCCCAUCUGCAUGUGCUGCCCUUGUACGUCUGCCAUCCGCCAUCCCGCUCUUACUCGGUGUCCCUCUCCGCGAAGGUUAAGCUCGCUCACGCGAUCCCGAAAACCCAGCACCUUUCUUGGUGGUUAUCCUUUUCCUUCUCUGCACGGCUGUUGCAACAUAGAAGAGAAUCGAGUCAGCGAAAAUGGGCUUAACAGACCUGUUCCGCCGUGAGACGCCGCAGGAGAGGAUUCGGAUGUACAAACGUCAGUUGGACCGCACAUGCCGCGACCUCGACCGUGAGCGCAACAAACUGAGCACGCAGGAACGCAAGAUUAUGAUGGAAAUGAAGAAGAUGGCGAAACAGGACCAGGUGGACGCGGUGCGCAUCAUGGCCCGCGACCUUGUUCGCACGCGCAAGUACAACCAGAAGAUGUACCGCAUGCGCACCCAGAUCCAGGGUGUGUCGCUGCGCAUGCAGACAAUGCAGUCCUCGGCGCAGAUGGCGGACGCCAUGAAGGGCGUGACCAAGGCGAUGCGCUCCAUGAACAAGAAGAUGAACAUUCCUGAGGUUCAGAAGAUUAUGCGUGAGUUCGAGAAGCAGAAUGAGAUGAUGGGCAUGAAGGAGGAUAUGAUGAACGACGCCGUUGACGAAGUCAUGGAUGACGACGGCAUGGAGGAGGAGGAGACGGAGCAGGAGAUUCAGAAGGUAAUGGACGAGGCGGGGCUCGAGUUCCGCACAAAGGUCGGCGUCACUGACACGGCGUUGCCACAGAAGAGCACCGAAACCCAAGGGGAGACGGAUGAGGAGCUGGAUGCCCGUCUGGCCGCACUGAAGGCAUCCAUGAAGUGAAGCAGCAACAAGCCUCCUCACGGGAAGCUCCGUCCUGGCACGUGUGCGCCACGCCUGGGAAAUAAGAAAAGGCCUGGGGCAAGAGGAACACGUCCGCUGUCGCGCGCCGCUGCAAGCCCGCACCCCCAUGCGCACACACGUCGUCCGUGUCAUAAGGAUGUGCUUGUGCUGCGUGUGUGUGUGCGCAGGGCCCGCCGAUCCGUCUCUUGCAGUCUCAGACGCGUCUCCCCUCCGAACGCUUGCCCAUCUUACACUCUUUCUGUUUAAGGAGCUGCAUCUCCGCUGCAAGCACACGUUGGCACACGUAACUGUGCGCACGACCUCAUGCCUUGUGCUUUCCACCUCUUCCUCCCUGUCUGUCUCUGCGUUGCUUGCACGUCCAACGAUAGCGCCAUCUUUUUUUCGCCCUCUUCACCAUGGCUACUUUGACACAUGUUUCGUUUUGGCUGUUUGGUGGUGCGUCUCUGUGCUUCUGCUGCCGCUGCGCGUACACGCUCCUGUGCAUGACACGAUUUGCACCCCCUCGUGCUUUCCUUCUCUCUCCUCAUCCUCUUGCCUACACGCACUCCGUAUUUGCGUGUGGCUGUGCGACUCGAGCAACGAGGAAAAGACAUGGCAGCGAGAGAAAAGGUGCGCUGGCAUCUUCGAGGUGACGCACAGAGACGGGAUCAAGGGCUAUGGAGACAGAGGGCACAGAAGCGAGACAAGCAAGAGAGAGCGAGGGACACCGCAUAGCGUCUAUCAUCCCUCUGAGCACUCCGCUCCCACCGUUCUCCCUCUUAACCACCUCCUUUCCUUCUCAGCUGAUGGUCACCUGUGUCUGCGUCCAUGUCUCUUUCAGCAGGUAUGUGUGUGUUGUUGGUCUUGGUGGGGGAAGAGGGGGAGGCCGGUGAGCGCUUCUUGGAUGCGUCCUUUUUCUGUGCUUCUUCGUUUGCCCAUUGUUCGGUGUCGGCUCUCUUCACGCUCUCCUCACCCUCGCCCUACCCCCACCCCCCACUACCACCACCACACACCCCUCACGACCUCUGCUGCGUCGUCUCCUCCUUUUUGGUUUCGCCUGUUUCAUUCGGCAUUAUCCUUACGGCGGUUGUUGUGGAUGGGCUUCUCUUUUUGUCGCUGCCGCUCCUUCCAUCUCACUGGCAAAAG
rnacentral:misc_RNA from 1 species